rnacentral:rRNA from 1 species
GACGAACGCUGGCGGCGUGCCUAAUACAUGCAAGUCGAACGGAGAGAUACGAGGGUUUGCCCUUGUAAAUAUUAGUGGCAAACGGGGGAGUAACGCGUAAACAACCUGCUCAACGGAGGGGGACAACAGACAGAAACGACUGCUAAUACCCAAUAUACUCCAGUUUCGCAUGAAACCGACAGAAAAGGUUGCCUCUCGAAGAAGCUACGGCCCCACGAGGGAUUAGCGUUUGGUUAGUUAGUUGGCGAGGCAACGGCCUGCCAAGUCGAAGAUCAAUAGCCGGACUGGGAGGGUGAACGGCCACACUGGGACUGAGACCCGGUCCAAACUCCUACGGGAGGCAGCAGUGGGGAAUCUUCCGCAAUGGACGGAAGGCUGACCGAGCAACGCCGCGUGAGUGAAGAAGGCCUUCCGGUUGUAAAACUCCGUUAUUCGGGAAGAACGAUACGUUUGUAAAAAAUGGCCGGAAGUGACGGUACCGAAACAGAAAGCCACGGCUAACUACGUG